AGACUCUUCUGGCCCCCUGUCCUUUCGGAAAGAAGACAGAGAUGAAAUAUAAUCAAGCAAUUAACCACCCCUAUCAUCACCAAGAACAACAGUAUCAACAACAAGAACAGGGACAACAAAACCCAUGGAUGAAACAUUCCUUUCUCAUUCAGAUCUUAUCUGGCACACUCUCUCUCUGCUCUGUCUCAGUCUGUGGUUUAGAGAAACAUGGGCAACGCUGUUUGGAAGAACAGGGCUUCCUAGGAAUCAACAAUGCCCAUGAAGGAAGGGAUUGUAGAAAUAGCUUAACACUUUCAUUUACUAACGUGGAAAUUGAAGCCCAGGGAAGGGAAGGGACCGGCUGUGGAAGAGAGAGCCAUCAGCAGAAAGAGACCCUGAGAUCUUCCUGUGCGAUUCCCCGGAAGUCCAGCCGGAGCUGAUUCAUAGAACAAAUGCAUGCAAACCUUGCUAUCUAUAAACUACACAUACACUUACAUAAAACACA